rnacentral:rRNA from 1 species
UGGGGAAUAUUGGACAAUGGACCAAAAGUCUGAUCCAGCAAUUCUGUGUGCACGAUGACGUUUUUCGGAAUGUAAAGUGCUUUCAGUUGGGAAGAAAAAAAAUGACGGUACCAACAGAAGAAGUGACGGCUAAAUACGUGCCAGCAGCCGCGGUAAUACGUAUGUCACAAGCGUUAUCCGGAUUUAUUGGGCGUAAAGCGCGUCUAGGUGGUUAUGUAAGUCUGAUGUGAAAAUGCAGGGCUCAACUCUGUAUUGCGUUGGAAACUGCAUGACUAGAGUACUGGAGAGGUAAGCGGAACUACAAGUGUAGAGGUGAAAUUCGUAGAUAUUUGUAGGAAUGCCGAUGGGGAAGCCAGCUUACUGGACAGAUACUGACGNUAAAGCGCGAAAGCGUGGGUAGCAAACAGGAUUAGAUACCCUGGUAGUUCACGCCGUAAACGGUGAUUACUAGGUGUUGGGGGUCGAACCUCAGCGCCCAAGCUAACGCGAUAAGUAAUCCGCCUGGGGAGUACGUACGCAAGUAUG